GCUUGAUGUCUAGCAUGCGAGUCAUUGUAGCAUACAAGGCAUACGGCUCAGUAACGCGUAGUCAACCUAACCUAUGGACGGGAAUAACCUCGGGAAACUGAGAAUAAUGCCCGAUAGAACACUAUACCUGGAAUGGUUUGUGUUCCAAAUGAUUUAUCGCCAUAGGAUGGGACUGCGGCCUAUCAGUUUGUUGGUGAGGUAAUGGCCCACCAAGACUAUUACAGGUACGGGCUCUGAGAGGAGUAGCCCGGAGAUGGGUACUGAGACACGGACCCAGGCCCUAUGGGGCGCAGCAGGCGAGAAAACUUUGCAAUGUGCGAAAGCACGACAAGGUUAAUCCGAGUGAUUUGUGCUAAACGAAUCUUUUGUUAGUCCUAGAAACACUAACGAAUAAGGGGUGGGCAAGUUCUGGUGUCAGCCGCCGCGGUAAAACCAGCACCUCAAGUGGUCAGGAUGAUUAUUGGGCCUAAAGCAUCCGUAGCCGGCUCUGUAAGUUUUCGGUUAAAUCUGUACGCUUAACGUACAGGCUGCCGGGAAUACUGCAAAGCUAGGGAGUGGGAGAGGUAGACGGUACUCGGUAGGAAGUGGUAAAAUGCUUUGAUCUAUCGAUGACCGCCUGUGGCGAAGGCGGUCUACCAGAACACGUCCGACGGUGAGGGAUGAAAGCUGGGGGAGCAAACCGGGAUUAGAUACCCGGGUAGUCCAGCUGUAACUAUGCAACUCAGUUGAUGCAUGCCUUGUGUGAUGCAGUGCUGCAAGUAAGUCCGU
rnacentral:rRNA from 1 species